rnacentral:tRNA from 1 species
GUAGAGGUGGUUCAGUGGCAGAAUUCUCACCUUCCAUGUGGGAGACCCAGGUUCGAUUCCCAGCCAGUGCU